AAGAAAAAGAAGGCCCAAACAACACAGCUUGCUUCUGCAUGGGCAAUGACAAUAGGACAAUCCAUUCUUACAGGGUACAGACUUCUGUGUGGGGAACUUGGAGUAGAAAUCCUACCCAUUGAUGCAGAUUGUCACCUUGCAUAUCUCUGAGAUACUGUGAGUUUGCUUCCAGAUCACCACAAUAAAGCCAUUAUCACAAUAAAG